rnacentral:rRNA from 1 species
CCUACGGGAGGCAGCAGUAAGGAAUAUUGGUCAAUGGACGAAAGUCUGAACCAGCCAUGCCGCGUGAAGGAUGAACGUCCUCUGGAUUGUAAACUUCUUUUAUAUGGGACGAAAAAAGGGAAUUCUUUCUCACUUGACGGUACCAUAGGAAUAAGCACCGGCUAACUCCGUGCCAGCAGCCGCGGUAAUACGGAGGGUGCAAGCGUUAUCCGGAUUCACUGGGUUUAAAGGGUGCGUAGGUGGGUAAGUAAGUCAGCGGUGAAAUCUCCGAGCUUAACUCGGAAACUGCCAUUGAUACUAUUUAUCUUGAGUAUUCUGGAGGUGAGCGGAAUAUGUCAUGUAGCGGUGAAAUGCUUAGAUAUGACAUAGAACAGCAAUUGCGAAGGCAGCCCACUAAGGAGUUAUUGACGCUGAGGCACGAAAGCGUGGGGAUCAAACAGGAUUAGAUACCCUUGUAGUC